rnacentral:rRNA from 1 species
AUGACCAUGAUGAAGUCGCCCACGUCCACCUCCUACCUCAUCCUGGCUCCCGUCGCGAUCCUGCUCCUCCUCUUCCUGCUCUCCUCACUCAACCGCACCGGCGCCGGCGGCGGCUCCGACGGCCUCGGCGUCCUCUGCGCCCGCCGCGCCGGGACACGCCACCCCACCGCCGCCGUGUCGGCGCGGGCCGAGGCGGCGGAGCCCGAGCUGAGCCUGCUGGUCGGCAUCCUGACGAUGCCGAAGCGGCGGGAGCGGCGCGACAUCGUGCGGCUGGCGUACGCGCUGCAGCCGCCGGCGGCGGGCGCGCGGGUGGACGUGCGCUUCGUCUUCUGCAACGUGACGGACCCGGUGGAGGCGGCGCUGGUGGCGCUGGAGAUCAUGCACCACGGCGACAUCAUCGUCCUCGACUGCGCCGAGAACAUGAACGACGGCAAGACGUACGCCUACUUCUCGUCCGUGCCGCGGCUGUUCGCGGCCGCGCCCUACGACUACGUGAUGAAGACCGACGACGACACGUACCUGCGGGUGGCGGCGCUGGUGGGGGAGCUCCGGCCCCGGCCGCGCGACGACGUGUACCUCGGCUACGGCUACAACAUGAGCGGGGACCCGAAGCUGUUCAUGCACGGCAUGGGGUACGUGCUGUCCUGGGACCUGGCGAGCUGGGUUUCGACGGCGGAGGAGAUCCUGGCGCGGAACGACACGCUGGGGCCCGAAGACCUGAUGCUCGGCAAAUGGCUCAACCUCGCCGGCAAGGGCCGGAACAGGUACGACCUCAAGCCGCGGAUGUACGACCUCAGCUGGGACAUGGACAACCUGCGGCCGGACAGCGUCGCCGUGCACAUGCUCAAGGACAACAGCCGGUGGGCGACCACGCUCCGGUACUUCAACGUCACCGCCGGGAUCAAGCCGUCCAAGCUGUACCACCUGCCGUGA